AGCAUAGCAACAGCAGCGUAGCUGAACAUCUUACGGAUGGCCCAGGGCUCCAAAGGCUCGUUUCCUAAGUGAGAGAGAGCCUGGCUGAAGCUGUAUUACCAUUCAUUCUCCAGCCUCCGAAGUCUCAAAGCAUCACUUCCACCAUACUCUAACUGUCAAGACAAACACAAAGGCCCAGAGAAGGGGUCUCACUAUGUUGUCUGGAGUGCUGUGGUGGAGUGGAGUGGCUAUUCACAGAGCCUGUUCUGCUGGGACACAGAAUCACUUGCUCCAUCUCAUACAUUGAUGAUGAUUAAUUUGUAUGUGUACCUUCCAAAAAAGAUGGUUGUGUUUGAAUGGAGGCCUUCUGGACAGGAAAAUUGCAAAGUACAAUUAACAUUUGAGUCUGUCUGAGUCAUGAAGAAAUGGAGAUUACUGAAAAUAAUUCAUUUUGGUAUCUUCUUACAUCCUGAGAGACUAAUCUUUCCAAGUUCAUCUGAGGCUCCUCUUCUCCAUGACAACCUCAUCCAGGGAUUUCUUCCUGUCCUGGUGUUUUAUGACAUCAUCCUCAUCUCGCUUGUAAGGAUAAUAGCCUUCCUCCAAACCUCACACACUUUUGGAGGAGAUCACUUUUUUUAAAGUGCAUGGAAAUGUUUUGAAACAGUGAAAUCUAUAAUGAUAGGUUUCAUAAUUCUAACAUCCACACCAUAUGAAUCACAUCCUUCCUGAGAUAAUGAGCACACAAUUGCCUGGAUACCUGAAGGAAUGGAGACAGCGGCAGAAAACACUGCAGAGAGGUGGAAACAUCCGUUAAUAUUUUAAAAUCCCAUUACUGCUACCAACAAUAAUAAUGGAUGCAUAGAAAUAGAUCUGGAUUAGCUGAGCUUGAAACAGUCCAUCUCACACACACACAAAAGAAUUUCAGAUACAGUGAACCCACAUGUUGAAGCUUUCUAGUAUAAUAAAAAUUUCAACUGUUCUGUUGAAUCAUCUGCCUGAUUGGAGGCUACAGAAAAGAUGUCAUCUUAGGAGUGCUUGCUCUGAGUGAGGCUCAUCUUCAAAUCUGAAUGACCACAAGGAGAUUUGAUUAUACAUGUGAACACCUCAGAAGGCACAGCCCACCCAGAAGGCAGACAGGUCAGGCUGCUUUUUCUUCAUUGCUUGGAUUCAAUCCUCCGGGCGGCUCAGGCUCAAACAUAACUUAAGCAUGAUUAAACUUUAGAAGAAGCUGCCAGGAAGACUGUGAAAUCUUCAUGCCCAAGGAUCCCUAAAAUUAGGAGCAACAACCACUUGGCUCAGACGGUUUAUGGAGGCAAAGGUUUGGAUGGGAUUAGAGAUUUCUAAAUGUGAGUUCGUGUCCUCUGCCAGACCACCUUACUUCCACCAUUCCUCAGCAAAUCAAGAAAAACAGGAGAAAAGACAUGCCUUUCCAUAAGUUAAAUCUAUUCUGUUUUAAUUCUAUAUUAUAUCUGCUGUACAACUUCUUUUGUUUGUAACACCAUAUUGUUGCUAGUAACUGGAAAUUAAUUUUCACAUGCCUCAGCUUAGAAAAAUAAAAAGCAGCCCUGCAUCAA
ensembl:lncRNA LINC00635 long intergenic non-protein coding RNA 635